GACGAACGCUGGCGGCGUGCUUAACACAUGCAAGUCGAACGGAAAGGCCCUUCCUGCGUUGCGUGAGUGGGGAACGGGUGUGUAACACGUGUGUGAAAUGCCCUGCUGUUUUGGAUAAACCUGGGGAACUGGGUCGAAUAACUGAGAGGACUACGCGAUACAUGUGGUGUGGGGGAGAGGUUUUGCGGGGGGGGAUGGGGCCGCGGCGUAUCAGCUUGUUGGUGGGGUGGUGGCUUACCAAGGCGACGACGGGUAGCCGGCCUGAGAGGGUGGCCGGCGACACUGGGCCGGAGAUACGGCCCAGACGCCUACGGGAGGCAGGCGUGGGGAAUAUUGCACAAUGGGCGCAAGCCUGAGGCAGCGACGCCGCGUGUGGGAUGACGGCCUUCGGGUUGUCACCCCCUUUCGGCCCAGACGAAGCGUAAGUGACGGUAGUUGCAGAAGAAGCACCGGCCAACUACGUG
rnacentral:rRNA from 1 species